rnacentral:rRNA from 1 species
GACGAACGCUGGCGGCGUGCUUAACACAUGCAAGUCGAACGAUGAAGUUCCUUCGGGAAUGGAUUAGUGGCGAACGGGUGAGGAACACGUGAGAAACCUGCCUUUCAUUUUGGGAUAACUCCGGGAAACCGGGGCUAAAAACGAAUACUCCGUAUCGGCGGCAUCGCUGAGCCGGGAAAAAAUUUUGAUGAAAGAUGGUCUCGCGGCCUAUCAGCGAGUUGGUGAGGUAAUGGCUCACCAAGGCAACGACGGGUAGCCGGCCUGAGAGGGCGACCGGCCACACUGGGACUGAGACACGGCCCAGACUCCUACGGGAGGCAGCAGUGGGGAAUAUUGGGCAAUGGGCGCAAGCCUGACCCAGCGACGCCGCGCGAGGGAUGAAGGCCUUCGGGUUGUAAACCUCUUUCAGUAGGGACGAAGCGAAAGUGACGGUACCUAAAGAAGAAGCACCGGCUAACUAUGUGCCAGCCGCCGCCGUAA